GACGAACGCUGGCGGCGUGCCUAAUACAUGCAAGUCGAACGCAGUGGGGACGGGUGAGUAACACGUGGGUAACCUCCCAUCAGAGGGGAUAACACUUGGAAACAGGUGCUAAACCGAUACUGAUGGAUGGACCCGCGGUGCAUUAGCUAGUUGGUGAGGUAACGGCACACCAAGGCCAAGAUGCAUAGCGGUCCUGAGAAGGUUAUCGGCCACACUGGGACGUAGAAACGGCCCAGAAUCCUGCGGGAGGAGACAGUAGGUAAUCUUCGGCAAUGGACGAAAGUCUGACCAAGAAAGGCCGCGAGAGUGAAGAAGGUUUUCGGAUCGUAAAACUCUGUUGUUAGAGAAGCGGGAACUAACCAGAAAGGGACGGCUAACUACGUGCCAGCAGCCGCGGUAAUUC
rnacentral:rRNA from 1 species